rnacentral:rRNA from 1 species
UACGGGGGGAGCAAGCGUUGUUCGGAUUUACUGGGCGUAAAGGGCGCGUAGGCGGCGUGACAAGUCACUUGUGAAAUCUCCGGGCUUAACUCGGAACGGUCAAGUGAUACUGUCGUGCUAGAGUACAGAAGGGGCAACUGGAAUUCUCGGUGUAGAGGUGAAAUUCGUAGAUAUCAGGAGGAACACCAGUGGCGAAGGCGGCUUCCUGGACACCAACUGACGCUGAGACGCGAAAGCGUGGGGAGCAAACAGG